rnacentral:lncRNA from 1 species
CUCUUUAAGAAAUUAUUAGUUAUAAUGAAUAUAACCUUUCGACUGGAAUCGAUUGCAUUGACCACGUUUUCUGCUAUACCUUUACCGCCGAUAAAGUCCGUAGCGUCCAGACAUAAUUCGAAGCCCAUACUGCUUACCUUGUCAUGGAACUGUUUCAUCCAUUCCCAAUCUGUAUGACUAUAUGAUAUAAAAGCAUCAUACGUAUAUUCCUGUGUCAGUUCUUCGUAAUUUCUCAUUUUCCUUUUAAAU